rnacentral:misc_RNA from 1 species
UUUCCGUAGGUGAACCUGCGGAAGGAUCAUUACUGAGUGAGGGCCCACUGUGUCCAACCUCCCACCCGUGUUUAUUUUACCUUGUUGCUUCUGUGCGCCCGCCUCACGGCCGCCUGGGGGCAUCUGCCCCCGUGCCCGCGCUCGCCGAAGAAAACCUUGAACUCUGUCUGAAGGUUGCAGUCUGAGCGAAAACUAAAUAAGUUAAAACUUUCAACAACGGAUCUCUUGGUUCUG